CUGGAGCAAGCAGAAAAAAUGUAGUAUAAAAAUCGGAGUGGCCCUUACUUUGAGCUUUAUGGCGAUUGGACCAAUCUCAUUACUUUCGAAGCUGAUAGAAAAAUCUCUGAUGGGAGAGUACGAGUCGAUGUUCCGGGUGCUGGCCCAACUUCCAACUACAGCUAUUACCCUGAUGUUCACCCUCGUCUUAAUUAAAAAUUUUCGGAAAUUCUGCCACUUCGAACUCGCGUUGAAAGAGACUUUCGACUUUGCUGCGUUGUAUUCUCCGAAGCUAGCGGCGAAGAAACAGAGAGAUUGUCAGCGCAGUUUCCGAAUCUUCUUGAGGAAUUACGGACUGUAUGUCUACAUCACAUUGCUCGGCUGGUUUGUGUACCCUGUCUACCUCUAUUGGAGUAUGUACCCGGAUGUCGACUACCGUCAACUUCACUUGUUCUAUGGCGACCAAGAUUUCAGUCUCGAGCGAAGUCGAUAUUUCUGGUACCUACAUGGUGUUUCGUUCAUCAACGCUGCGUUUUUGACGACGGUGAUGUUGCUGCAUUACGCAAUCCCAAUCAGGGCGUUCAUGCUCAUCGAGACCCAGGUUCACGUCCUCAUCGGUUCACUAAGGGCCACCGCCGCAAACCUCAACCGUAACGCAAUGUCGCACCGGGUCCAGUUCAAACUCCCCGCCACUCCUCAUAACAAAAAGGACCGUCACGCACGGCUACGUUACAGCAACCGGACCGCCUCACCGGAGGCUUCUUCGUCAAGAAUAAAGGAAGCGUCAGGGAACGCUCAUCCCAAGAACUUUCUCGGUCUCUUGGAGGAUCCUCAAAAUACGGGCAGCCUAACUCUGAGAUAUUGCAUCUUUCACCACCAACAAAUUCUCAGAUUGCUGAGACAGCUCAAGCACUUGCUUGCUCCAGUUUUGUUUUUGGAGGUGUUGAGUUCAUUUUUCACUUUCACCCAUGUAAUGGUAAUUAUUGCCUCGGGAGGAACUCACAUGCCGAAACUAUUGUUAUAUCUAACUUUUGUGACUUUCUCCAUCAACUUGGUGCUCACAAUUUUGUAUUUGACGAAGCUCUUGGAUGCAUGUCGCGGCGUUUCUGAUGCUGCCUUCGAGCUUGUGCAGUACAGGCAAAUCCCCCGCAAAGACCUCCUCAUAAUUAUCAACCGAUCCUUGAAGAAAGAAACCUUCUCUUGUUUCCUUACUUCAGAUCUGUCGUUUAAGGAUCUUUAUCGGUUGUUGGACCUCUCGUGGAACUAUUUCACCAUCGCAGUAGCAAUGGCGAGGAAACGCCCGGAAAAUAGCUCAUAAAAAACUCCAGUCUCAUCCCAACUUUCAAGUCGAGAAUGCCCCGGCCGCAUACCAGCUGACCACGCCAAAAUGUUCAUGUCGUAGGAAAGUUGGGUGUCCUGCAAACAUGGCUCUCAGGAGCAGGAUCGUAUUGCAAAAUUUGGUUGAAUUAGAUUUUCGCACCUAAAACUUCACUGAGUAGCGAGAAAAUGUGUUGGUUACUUAAUUUUGUGAGGGUGGAAAGACGAGUUGUUCUUUGCAGGCACUGACUCAAAAAUCACGAUGAUUGAAUCAGAAAUGUCGGAGAUGUAUUCCUACCUUCACGAUAUGCAGAAGAACUUUGCGUAUUUUCGUUCGAUUUGAGGAUAAGCGUAAAAAUAAAAAGGUUUUUGGUUAUUUCGCCAGAGUCGUUGAAUCUUGUUUUGGUGAAAUUAAUUAAGACAAAUAAACAAAUAAAA
rnacentral:lncRNA from 1 species